GUAAAUCAAUCCUACUUCAAUAAAAUUUUGUUUAAUGUUCUAGAAUUAGACAGUGGUGAUGGUUGAAAACUUUGUAAAUAAUAACAAACCACUGAAUUUUACCUAAUGAAAAAGAAAUAAGUAAAAUUUUAAAACCGGGAAAAAUAAUAACACUGACCUAUCAGGCCAUUGCCUGUUUAACCUGGACGUCAAAUUGGCAGCUCCAGAGCAAACAAAAUAAGGUCCAAUCCAUCAUCUAGGGUGCACACCACAAAGACAAAUAUGGAUACAUAGUUCAUUCUCUUAUCAGGGUAACAUGGCUCUGAAAUGAGGACGGAGAUAGAGUGAACGCUUCCGCAUCCUAGCUGGAGAUGCAUCUCUCUGCUUUUUGAAAAACGACUGAUCUUCCACUUAGAGAAACAUCUCUUGCAUCCCGUGGUCUCCUAUAAGCACAUGGAGCUGAGGAUAUUUGGAAAAAGUCACCGUGACAGAUGCAAGCCUGGAGACACAGAGAAAGUGAGGCCCAGGCUAAAGAACGUCCACAUCUGAGGACUGACUGGUGGUAAGCAUCCUAAUAACGCCCAAGACGCAGAAGCCCGCAUUCAUCUAACUGCCAAGGGCCAGCCUGACGGAGGCAGCAGCCAGGACUCCAAAGGCCUCAGCGCAAGAGCAGUUGAACACGCCCCAGAAGCGGCGCUGCAUCGCUCGGGCCUGGAGGUACGGGUGGAAUCCGGCUUCCGGGGAGGCAGCCUUGCACGCUCUGCCGCUUAGGCCCUGCAGCCCGGGUACCCGCCACCACUUCUCCGUGCGCCAGCCGCCAGGUAUAGAGGUUUUAAGGAGCGGCCGCCUUUGAAAACCCUUUUAUGUCUUCCCAUUCUGGGGAUUCCCUGGGAUUAAAAUCUAAGUCCACCGUGGAGUUCUUGGUGCCUCUCGCCUCUCCUCCAGACCCCUGCAGCGAAUGCAUUCUUUCACCGAACAUUUACUGGGUGCCUAACAGUUGCCAGACAGGGUUCCAGGCGAGGCGUCGCAUCCAGAGCAAAAGCAAGGUCGGUGCCCGGUGGAUUCCUCCUCUAGAGGCAUGGAGGCAGGCAGUGCGGUAGGGGCCCAGUAGAUUCUGGUCUUCCACCCCCACCCCCCGCGCCUGCGCACUGGCCCCCUGGGCUCUUUGGGAAGGGGCGGGGGAGGCGGGACUGGCGAGGAGCACCACAGGUGAAGCAGAGCGAAGAUUUGGAUAUUGAAUGACUUCAGAUAAAAGAGGCAGCAGUUUCACAUGGGGACUUGUCAUUUGAUCAUCACUGUCCUCCGCUCCUCUGGCUCCAUGCCAGUGCCCAAACAUGCCUAAUCAUAUGACUCUUGGUCUCUAUGCCUCCGGCUCCCCAAGCUUCUGAAGUGGGGAUGGAGGCUAAGCAAAACAAAGGAGUUGAUGUGGGUAGAGAACACUUCAGGUGCCGCUGUACAAUUAGCUGAUUAUGUGUAAUACAUUUUUCCAGAUUUAUUGAGAUGUCAUUGACAUAGAGCAUUGUAUAAGUUUAAGGUGUUUAUCAUCAUGAAUUGACUUACACACAUUAUGAAAUUACCACAAUAAGUUUAGUUAACAUCCAUCAUCUGAUACAGAUAGAAAAAGAUGGGUUUUUUUUCCCUUGUGAUGAGACUUCUUAAGACUUACUCUCUUAAUAACUUUCCAAUGCAAUGUUAACCAAAGUCAUCGUGUUACACCUGACAUCCCCAGUACCUAUUUUAUAACCAGUUUGCGCCUUAUGAACACUUUGAUUAUGUAUGCUAUGAUUGAUUGGCAGCCCACUGGUACCCCAAGCAGGUGUCUCUGUGGUGUAACUGGUUAGAGUGUUGAGCAGUUGGCCAAAAGCUUGGUGAUUUGAGCCCACCUGGCGAUGGUUAUAUUUAUGGGAAAGCUAUUUUUCCAUCUUUCCUUGGGAUACCUGCUCCUUACCCUCAAGUUUCUCCUCUCAAGACUCUAGCCUUCCUCAGGUACGUCUAGCAAAGAAUGCUGUCUUGGGCAAAAAGUCCAUUUUGGAACUCCAGAGCCUAUCUAACCCACACUCACCAAAUAUCUUCCCCUACUUUUCCAGAGGCUAGGUUUUUACACCUUAGCAUGUUUGGAACACUGGGAAUCCCUAAAAUGGAGAACAAGAGAACUCAGGUCACACCUGUGGUGAAGCCACAGGCUCUGGGCAGGAAACCGGAUUGGUAGAACAAGUUCCUUGACUUCUGUACCUUCAUUGCUAAUGUAAAAUGAACCAAAUGGAGUACUUGGGUUGUCCAAAGUUUAAAUGCGGUUUUAAAUGAGAUGUGUAGGUAAAGCCCUGAGCCUAGGCUUCUCCCAUAGUAAAUGUUCAGUACACAUUGGCUGUUAUCACUGCCAUUGCCAUCAGCAUUUUCAUUAUCUGCUUUGUUUAAUUAGUAUCCUUCUUGGAGUUUCUGUUGUGGCUCAGCAGGUUACAAACCCAACAAAUAUCCAUGAGGAUGUGGGUUCAAUCCCUGGCCUUGCUCAGUGGGUUAAGGAUCCGGCAUUGCUGUGAGCUGUGGUGUAGGUCACAGAUGUGACCUGAAUCCCACAUUGCUGUGGCUGUGGCAUAGACUGGCAGCUUUGGCUCCCAUUCAACCCCUAGCCUGGGAACUUACAUAUGCCACAGACGCUGCUCUAAAAAGUGAAAAAAAAUUUAUCAUCCUUCUUGAUAUAAAUAGAUCAUUAUUCAAACAUUUUCUAACUGAUGGUCAUGAAACUGGCUCCAGUAUUUACUACUGCAAAAACUACUGCAGGGAACUGCCUUAUACAUAAUCAGCCAUCACUUGUCUGUUUCUCCGUAGAUUCCUGGAAAUGGAAUUGCCAGAUCAACAUAUUUGCUCAUUUCUGAGGACAACACAAACAGAUGGAAACGUAUAUGUGUUAAUGGAUUGGAAGAAUUAAUAUUGUUAAAAUGACCAUACUACCCAAGAUAAUCUACAGAUUCAAUGCAGUCCCUAUCAAAAUAUCAAGGGAAUUUUUCACAGAACUAGAACAAAUAAUUUCAAUUUUGUAUGGAAACACAAAAGACCCCAGAUAGCCAAAGCAAUCCUGAGAAAGAAUAAUAGAGCGGGAAGAAUCACUCGCCUUGACUUCAGACUACACCAAAAAGCUAUAGUAAUCAAAACGGUAUGGCACAAAACAGACACAUACAGAGACCAAUGGGACAUAAUAGAGAACCCAGAAAUAAUCCCGCACACUUAUGGUCAAUUAAUCUACUAGAAGGCAAGAAUAUUCAAGGGAGAAAAUACUGCCUCUUAAGUAGCGGUGCUGGGAAAACGGAACAAUUACAUGUAAAAGGAUAAAAUUAGAACAUUUUCUCCCACUAUAUACAAAAAUAAACUCGAACUGUACUAAAGAGUAAAUGUAAGACCAGAAAUCAUAAAACGCCUCGAAGAAAAUGUAGGUAGAACACUCCUUGACAUAAAUCAUAGCAAUAUUUCUUUGGAUCUGUCUCCUAGAGCAAAGGAAACAAAUGCAAAAAUAAACAUAUAGGACCAAAGUAGACUUCAAAGCUUUUGCACAGAAAGGAAACCAUCAACGAAAUGAAAAGACAGCCUACUGAAUAGGAGAAAAUAUUUGCUAAUGAUACGACCAACAAGGUGUUAAUAUCCAAAAUAUAUAAACAGCUCAUUCAACUCAACAUCAAAACAAAUGAACAAAAAUUUAAAAAUGGGCAGAAGACCUGAAUAAACAUUUUUUCAAAGAGGACAAGCAGAUGGCCGACAGGCAUAUAAAAAAAUGCUCAGCAUUGUUAAUCAUCAGGGAAAUGCAAAUCAAAAUCAUGAUGUAUCACCCCACACCUGUCAGAAUGGCUAUCAUCAAAAAGAACACAAAUAACAAAUGUUGGCAAGGAUGUGGAGAAAAGGACACCGUGGAUGGGAAAGUAAAAUGGUGCAGCCACUGUUUCUCAAACUAAAAAACUAAAAAGAGAACUACCACAUGACCCAGCAAUGUCACUCCUAAGUAUGUAUACAAACCAACAACAACAACAACAACAACAACAAAACCCCACUAAUUCAAAAAGAUAGAUGCACCCCAAAAUUCAUAGCAGCAUUAUUUACAAAUGCCAAGAUAUGAAAGCAACCUAAGCAUCCCUCAACAGAUGAAUGGAUAAAGAGGAUGUGGUGUACACACACAGACACACACACACACACACACACACAUGCAUACACUCUGGAAUACUACUUGGCCAUUAAAAAGAAUGAAAUUUUGUCAUUUGCAACAACAGGAUUGACUUGGAGGGUAUUAUGAUAAAUGAAUAAGUCAGACAGAGAAGGACAAAUACUGUAUGAUAUCACCUACAUGUGGAAUCUAAAAAAUACAAUAAACUAGGGAAUAUAACAAAAAGGAAACAGACUCACAGAUAUAGAGAAAAAAGUAGUGGUUACCAGUAGGAGAGAGAAGGAGGAGGGGAAAGAUAAGGGUAGGGAAUUAAGAGGUAUAAACUAUUAUGUAUAAAAGAAAUAAGCUACAAGAAUACAUUGUACAAUACAGGGAAUAUACCUAAUAUUCUAUAACUAUAAAUGGAGUAUAGCCUUUAAAAAUUGAGGGGAGUUCCCGUUGUGGCUCAGUGGUAAUGAGCCUGACUAGUAUCCAUGAGGAUGUGGGUUUGAUCCCCGGCCUUGCUCAGUGGGUUAAGGAUCCGGCAUGGCUGUGACCUGCGACUUGGAUCUGGAGUUGCUGUGGCUGUGGUGCAGGCUGGCAGCUUCAGCUCCGAUUUGACCCCUAGCCUGGGAACUUCCAUAUGCUGUGGUUGUGGCCCUAAACAAAUUUUUUUUUAAAAAAUACUUGCUCAUUUCUAAUUUUGCUAGUUCUCACCUAAUUACCCUGAAAAGAAGAUGCAGCAGGUCAUAUUCCCAAUGUUUUACAAGAAUAUUCUUUUCUCCACCAUUUCGCCAAAGCUGGAUAGUACUUACCUACCAUUUCCUUGAACUUAUUUUUGCCAGAAUUUUUAUGGACCAACAGUGGGAAGAUGUUCCGUACAUAGUACCAAACCCAGAAUCCUUAAACUAAAAGAGUGAUUAUGGAGUUCCCAUCUUGGCACAGUGGGAACGAAUCCAGCUAGGAACCAUGAGGUUGAGGCCUUGCUCAGUGAGUUAAAGAUUUGGUGUUGCUGUGGGCUAUGGUGCCGGUGUAGGCCAGCAGCAAGAGACAAAAAAAAUAAAUAAAUAAAUGAAAGAGUGAUUAAUAUGAUUACAUAAAAAUAUAUAUUCAAGAUGAAAAUAAUGAACUUUAAAUAAACACACACACACACACACAUAUAUACGGCAAAGGAAUUAUUUUGAUUUAGGGUAUAUGUUUAUCAGUUAUAUAUGCUCAUAAAUUUGUUUAGAAAAACAGCAAUCCCCUGAUGUACUCCCACAAAUUUUCAUCACAUGUAACCAAUGACUUGUUUAUGUUCUUAUUCCUAAUUAUUUCUAAUCCUUGAUUUUCAAAUUUUAGGCAUUGUUUCUUUCAUUUACUCCUUACAUCACUAACAUACACACACUCACACACACACACACACACACACACACACACACACACACACACACCUCCCCUUGCCUUAUCCUCCAAUAUAUUUGUAUUAUAGUUUGGUAGGUCGAUUAUUACAUUAACUGUUUGAUUGUUGCUAUUUUAGGGCUGCACCCAUGGCAUAUGGAGGUUCCCCGGCUGCGGGUCUAAUCGGAGCUGUAGCCGCCGGCCUAUGCCACAGCCACAGCAGCGCGGGAUCUGAGCCGCAUCUGUGACCUACACCACAGCUCAUGGCAACACUGGAAAAGGGCAUGGGCGCUCAAGAAUAUAAACAUUUCCCAAAGAAUGCUACAUGCCAGUUAACCCCAAAGAAUUCAACAAGGUCCUGACUUUAUUCCUAAGAAUUUGCAAGUCUAUUUACCGGCCUACCCUGAACCCUCCUCAUCCCACCCCCACCCCCAAAUGAUAAAAAGAAAAAUUUCAAGGAUAAACUCCAGACAAACCUAUUUCCGGCCUUCUUGGUAGAGCCAGAAUGCUCGUGGCAUCAAAAAGAUAGUCAAAUCAUGCCUGGGAACGUUCCACAAGUGGAGCCUCGCUCUCCCAAACCCACUGCCGAAGCAUCCCACCAACUCUGGGCUCCUUGUCCUCUUAAGAGUCUCCUUGUUCCUUCCUGUCUCCUACUAUCGCGUCCUCUUUCUUCCCGCCUUUCCUCAGCCGCCUUCAAGUGGACCUCCCCACAUUUUUUUUUUGCAUAAGUUGUAUUUCCUAAGUUCCCAAACUAUGAUUUGGCGGCGAAUAUUUUCACUACGUAAGACGUCCUUGGGGCUCCUGACUAAAUAUUUCUCCGGAGCAGAAGGGAAUGAACGUGUUUCCAUCUGGUCACGUCCGGGGGGGGGGGGGGCAUCUCCUCGUUGGCGCAGGUCCAAGGGGAGACCAAGGGUCCGGACUCGGAGUUGCUGCUGCGAGUCUCACCUUCGACCCGGAGGAGCCCGGCCGGCGGCAAAGGGUGAGGACCUGGGGGGGUCUCCUCAGACGCUGGAAUCUGAGGCCCAGGCUCCUCUUCUGGGGCGGAAGGACGAGAUUUCCUGGAGUCGAGGUUCCGGUCUUACCCUAACAGCGGCUUUCGUGUCCAGUGGAGAUUCAGGGGCGAGAAAUUCUGAACAAAAUCAGAAUAAACUGGAAUAAGACCAAUUAAAAUUCUUAAUAAAAUAGUACCGGAAUACAACACUGCUUGGAAUUCAGGUCUUGAACCGUUAACACGAAAGCUCAGAGGCAGUCACCCUGGCUGCUCAGGGACAUCAGAGCCCUUCAAGACUCGGGUGCUGCCACGUCCGUGUGGCCCUCGCGGUUCCGGGGCAGCGCGUGGGUCCGACGCAGAACAGGAGUGAGUAAAAACUGCUGAGCGCCGCCCCAAAGACGAGGUUCCACCGAGACUCGAACUCGGAUUCACGCUGGAUUCAGAGUCCAGAGUGCUCGCCAUCACACCAUGGAACCACCGGGGACCCUUCAGCUGGGAUCACUGAAUUCAGAGGCCAGAGUGCUCACCAUAACGCAGACCCUCCCGCAGCCCGUCCCUGCCAGCAGUUGAGCCAGGCGCGCGCAGCCCCGCCGGCCCAGGACCCGCUUCCCGCCGGGCGCGCUCCUCAGCCGCGCGCAGCCCGCGUCCUCCGCGACGCCAGGGGGCGCCGGCCUUGCCUGCCCUCGGCCUCCCUGCAGGUUAGUACGUCCAGGAGGACAUGAAAUCCACUGGGGUCAGCGACAGGGCAGGGCUUUCAGGCCUCCCCCAAGUCCACCUGCUCUGCCAGCAUUUGUGGAGUGUUCUACGCUGAGGUAGGAUUCCCACCAGAAAAAACAAGUUCCUUUCCUCUUUGUUAAGGGUCCUCUUCCCGCUGCCCUGGGAGCUCUGAGCAUCCUCAGAACAGCCCCUGGGACUUCCCAGGAAGUCUUCUCCCUGGGACCCCAGGGCCAAGGUUAGAUUAGAGUCGCAGGACGUUGCGGGCUUCACCGGGGGACACAGUCCAUUCUGUUAGGAAUCAGGGUGGACCCAAAUGGGCCCGGGCCCCACACAACUUACCCAGAGCACCCACACCGCCGGCGCCCUGAGCAGCGUGGUCGAGUGUGAGUAGUGCUGCUCUAGAUUCUCCUACCAAAGAGGAAAUAUGGAGGACAGAAGAAUUUACUACAGUAUACCCAGGGCCACACGUGUGGCAUAGCAGUCAAAUCAGAGCCACGGCAAUGUGAGAUCCAAGCCGCGUCUGUGACCUAUACCACAGCUCACAGCAACACCGGAUCCUUAACCCACUGAGCGAGGGCGGGUAUGAAACCCAGAACCUCAUGGUUCCUAGUUGGAUUCAUUUCCACUGUGCCACAAAGGGAACUCCCACUUCUGCAUUUUAUAGAGGAGGAGCUGCGCUGCCAAGGAGCUACGGAGUAACUAAACCCAGGUGGCCUGUUAUGGACAAACCUGGCCCUAGAACCCAGGCAACAGGCCCUUUCCACACCUUUGGAGGAAGAGAGAAGAAAGGCUCCAAUCUGGAGAGGUCUACAGGUACUAGGGGCUGUUUGUUCAACCUCCUGGAUAGGAAUAAGUCUUUACAGAGAAAUGCGGCUACAACAGGGCUGAGGAAAGAAUGGAAAAGAGAGAAACACAAAAUGGACUUGGAAAAAGACAGCAGCGAGAAUCACUGUGGCCCAAACCAUUUGCAUCCCAAGGACACCAACAUUCUAGGAAGGGGAUUUCAUGGUGCUACACUGUAAGAACUUCUUUCUGCCUGGCCCCACAGAGUUUCCGGUCGUCCUUCUGACACUCUCAUGGAAACCAUCUGCCUUCUCAAUUGGGUUUGUCUGAAGCAAGGUUCAUUCUGUAUUCUUUGUCUCUCCCUGAGUCGUCAUGAAUUUGGUCCAAAGUUCAUUCACUGCAACGCUCUCCUAGAUUCCCUGGUCUCAGAUGCCCACUCAGGUCAUGUUCUGGAAUUUUACUGCACGUGUGGAAGGAGUAGGAAACUUAAGGCAUGAAGGCGGUGGCACACACGACACUCCUGCCUGCUGGCAGCUGAGCCCUCACCCUCCAGCUUGGGAGGGGUCUUCAUUCCGAUGGAAGCAUCCAGACCCAGCUCUGAAGAGAAAACCACAGCCAACAGGAUCCAUCGUUACUCAUGAUCUUCCUGUGACUCCCUGCUCCACCCCCAGGGACCUCCGGUAAAGACAGUGUCCAGGGACAUGAAGGGCCAUCGGGAAGUGCGUGGUGAGGGAAGCCACUGGAGACAUUUGGUACUUCUUUCCUUCUGUUGAUACUCCUGAUACUAGUGAGACUACCAUGAGGCAGACAUGCUCCCAAAUGCCCCAAAGGUGUCGAGAACAAUAACAUUGAGAAAAACAAAACGUUCCCAGGGAGAAAAGACCAAGACAAGGAAACCAUGCCACACGCGGGGUGUACUUAUUCGGUGGGACAAGAGUGUAGAGACCAAGCAAAGUCACAGGUGAAGGAAAAGCUCAGGGCAGAAAAGCCCUGGGGAAGGCUAAACCUGGAAACAAUGUUAAAUGUGCAUCAAUACACAUCAUAGGGCAUGUGUAUAUAGAUACACACACAUAUACACACAUCCCGUACACAUAUUUUUUAGACACACUCAGUCCCCACGAGGUAUAGAAGGUGUGCUGAUAAAUGAAAACAUACACAAAGUGUGCGUGUACAUUAAACCAAUGAGAGUGCUGAUGGUUCAUUC